rnacentral:siRNA from 1 species
CAGCGUGGUUCCACUUGACGACCU